GCAAGAUGGGUCACCAGCAGCUGUACUGGAGUCACCCGCGAAAAUUCGGCCAGGGUUCUCGCUCUUGGUGAGAAAUAGUUUGUGAUUUUGGGGAAGCGUUGCCGUGGAGCGCCAGGCUGCUUAAAAUCUCAAGUAGAGGAGGCCACGGGCGGCACGAGGGAGCACGCCGACUGGGAGUCGCUGGUGCCGCCAUUACAGGCCUGUACUGGGGCUUGGGAGUCCCGGGAUGCGGGUAGUAGCCGUCUGAGUGCGGAGUCUUGUAAUUUCUAUGACCUGCAAAACCGCUAUCUCUUUUCUUACAGUCGCGUCUGUUCAAACCGGCACGGUCUGAUCCGGAAAUAUGGCCUCAAUAUGUGCCGCCAGUGUUUCCGUCAGUACGCGAAGGAUAUCGGUUUCAUUAAGUUGGACUAAAUGCUCUUCCUUCAGAGGAUUAUCCGGGGCAUCUACUCAAUGAAAAACCAUGAUAAUUCUUUGUAUAUAAAAUAAACAUUUGAAAAAA
rnacentral:sRNA from 1 species